rnacentral:pre_miRNA from 1 species
AGUAGGAUAGCUGGGUCAAAUGGUGGUUCCAUUCCCAGUUUUCUAAGGAAUCGCCAUACUGCUUUCCAGAGUGGUUGCACCAAUUUGCAAUCCCACCAGCAAU